rnacentral:lncRNA from 1 species
GGGCAAGUCACUUAACCCCAUUGUCUAGCCAAAAAGAAAAGAAAAGAAAAGAACAGGAUUAGUCAAUGUACGAAGGAGGGUACUAAAAAGAGAAAAGCCUAUGUCUCUGUAGUUGACAUGUGAGACCAAGGUUCACAGAGCAAACCUCUGGAAGCUUGUCAAUUUCCCUGCAGAGCCUUCAAACAGGUGCAGUGUGUCCUGGUCCCUUUGAGGUCAUAAUGGCAGGAUCUAGAACACAGGUCUCCUAAUUCCUAGCUCUGUUUCCUUUCCUGUGUUGAUGUCCUCGUUGAUUAGAGAUUGCUUGGGUGGCAUGCUGGUUUCCCUGUAGGAAAAGGUGAUCUACUUCUGAAGUCUUCCACAGCUAUUUAGUUUGACCACACCAUCAUUCUUCUGCCUUGGAAGUGUCAGAAUUGACCAGCAGUCUUUGCUCAAGGAGAGGGCUUCCAGUGCAUGACCGACAUGUAUUAAGUUGGUCUAGGUGCCACCAGUGGACUGCAAAUGCUAAACCAGACAGCGCUGAAUUUUUCUUUGGUGUGCUUGUGUUCAACAUUUGCCAUCAGAUCGACACAGCAACUCAAGUUGGCUGCCCAGAAAACUUUGCAGUUGAUCUUGGAUGACCACUUCAGAAGAAGAAGCUUUCAGACCUCUAACCAAACAAGAAGGCUUCAACUUUCGGUUUUGAAGGGGCGGCUAUACCAUUUACAUGGAUUCCCAAGGACCUUGUAGAAGUUCACAGCCAUAGAGCCGGUAAAAAGCUAAGGGCUUCUGCAUGGUGGCUGCACAACCUGCCAGCCUCUGAAAUUCUCUGCUGUUUGACUGUACAGCUAUGGAGAAGGGUUGACUCCACGACUUGACUGAAAGUUACCAUCAGAAUGAC